rnacentral:rRNA from 1 species
UACGUAGGGGCCUAGCGUUGUCCGGAUUCAUUGGGCGUAAAGAGCUCGUAGGCGGCUGCUCAAGUCGAAUGUGAAAACUCGAGGCUCAACCUCGAGCCUGCAUUCGAUACUGGGCGGCUAGAGUCUGGUAGGGGGAUCUGGAAUUCCUGGUGUAGCGGUGGAAUGCGCAGAUAUCAGGAGGAACACCGGUGGCGAAGGCGGGAUCCUGGGCCAGUACUGACGCUGAGGAGCGAAAGCGUGGGGAGCAAACAGG